UUAUUGCACCUGUCACAGGAGAGCUGGAGAAAGGUCUUUUUUUUUUUUUUUAAUCAGGGUCAAGGAGACCUCAUCCUAAGAAACCUGUCUUAAAAUAGCCGCUAGGGGGCCCUAAAGGCAUCUCAAAGAGGAAGCCAGAAAAGCUGCUCUCACCUCAGCUUUUCCCUGUUUGAUUUUCUGUAUACCUCUUGGAACUGGAAUCUAAAAACAAGUUAAGAGAGCAUGGUGCAAAGUCUGGAAGCAAAUCUAGCUGUAUGUUUUAAGAGACCAGAGUCCCAUUUUGACUCGUGAAUCAAGAAUUUACUUUCCCCACUCUCGUCUCGCCUCCAAAAAAAUAACGAAAAAGGAAUAUUUCACUCAUCCAGAUGAAGGUGGCCUGAUCCUCUUACCAUCUUAAAGUCAACCAGGUAAAGCUCACCACAGGAUCACCAGAGGAUUGAGGGUAUGUGAGAACUAUUUUUAAGAAGUCAUCUGAGAGUGUUUGGUAAAUGGAGGCCAGCUACCCGCUCUCCAUUCCCCUGUGCUCUGAAUCUCCAGACCCGUCUAACAAGGAGGACAUCUGUGGACUCAGCAUUCUCUGAACAGCCUCAAAUACUGACCACCUCUUAAGUCUUCUUUUCUUUGAGCUGCUUGUCAUCCAAGAACUCAAAGAAAAACAGAUUUGCGUCAUAGGCCAGAGGGUGUCUUGGAACAAGGACUAAAUUCUGGAAGGCUGCGUGUUUCCUCUAUGGAGAAACAAACCAAACAUAGGAUGAGAACUAAGAUUUUUUGGUUUUGUUCUUAUUUUCCCUUUCUCUGGUUAUAGGCUCACUUUUCACAGCAUCCUGCUCACCCACCCUUGCAGUUCGAUGCAUGGAUCUAUCAGGGUCAAUCAGAUCUUCUCUCAAAGGAAUGGGUGGUGCUAAAGUGAAUCUGAUUCAGCCCCCUAGGAAGUGCUGUGUCCCUGUUCCCUACAUGCUAGAGUUGCCCUGCUUCCUGAUUGUUCAGUUCUAGCUCUGAUUUGCUGAGUGACCUCAUUGUUCUUCUAAUGAAGCUCCCUUCCUUAUUUCUGUUGCUCACAUCCUGAGAAUUCUGACCAACAUACCCAGAUAGAAAACAAAUUAGUGGGGAAAGACAUAAGUGCACUAUCACUGAAAACCACACAGACAAUCAUUUUACACUUUGUGUAGAAGCAAAGACAGAACUAGUCAGUAGUUUUGUUUGUUGGAUUUGAACUUCGGAGACUAUGGAAAAGUGUUUCCGCAUCCAAAACACUAUUGGUUGAACAUUCCUUAAAUACAGUUACACUUAAAAUUAGCUUCACUUCUAUGCUAUGUUGCCAUUGUCUUUUUGUCACUUUGGCAGAGCCUUAGGAAAAGAACAAAAAGGGGGUAUUAUCGAAAGACUUAACAUUGAUAGACAGAGCCACAAUGAGCCAGCCCAUGGCUGACAUCCUUUCAACGAACCCUACCUAUUUAGUAAUUCAUUUCCUGCAGGAACAAUUUACUUCAAGCUUUUCUCGUACCCUCAGGAGAAUUUGGGGGCGAGAAGCACCUUUGGAGCUAACUCUAGGGGCUCAAAUCAAGGGAAAAAAGUCUUGAGAACAGCAGUGGGAGAAAUUAGCAAGGGUGAAUAACUCAAGUUUACAAAACAGUAAAUGGAGAAACCAGCGAUUUAGGAUACUGAUCAUUUAUUUUGACAGGUGUAGUUUAUCUCUGCUCAUUUAUAAUAAUUAUACAUAGUGGAGGCUCAUUAUCCUGCCCCCCUCGGUCUCAGUGCUGAGAGCAGUUAAAAGAAAAUUUGGCAAGCCUGUGGGGGGAGUGAGAUAAUGGGUGUUAAUGACCAAAAGGGAAAUCUCUCCUUGAGCCACUAACUGUGAGGAUGGCCCACAAGUCUUUGAAAGUGGGCAGUCAGGCUUUGAAAUAGCAUUUCUAAACUGGAUUUUUCUUUUUCUCCCUUCAGUGCUUCGUUGGGAUUAAAUGCAUUCAAAGACUCACUUUCCUAUUUCUUAUUACUCUCCCCGCUCCUAAGAACACAGAAUCUUUUGGAUUCGGAGUUCGGAAUGAUACUCCGGGUUUUGGAUGAGAUCAAUAUAAAUGCUUUGGAAGCCCCUGAGAUAUUUACCAUUUUGGGCAGGGAACUGGGGGAGACAGUAUAAUUUAUCGGUUCAUCACAUGGACCCUGCAGCCCAAGAGGUUCCAAGCUCUGCUACUUUCUAAAUGUGUUACCCACAAC
ensembl:lncRNA